AAAAGAGAAAUGUAGAAUACUGUAGUCAAGUCAAAAAUUCUCCAGAAGCUUGCACAAGUACAAGAAGAUAAAAACAGUACCAACUGCAUUCCCUGAGGGUAUAGGACCUGAGAGAAAUUGCAUUGGAUGAGUCUGCUUCCUUGUCUUCAUGGAUAAGAUCUGGAAUCUCAGUUUUUAUCUGGGAGCACUGUUACUUGGACUAAAAGACUGUUUCCCAACUUUUUGAAGCUAAUUGCGGGCAGGUGCCUAAAUUCUGGACAACGAGAGAGAGAUUAUUGCAAAUACAACAUUGGCUAAAUCAGUGAAUAUGGGCUUGUUGGCAGAAUGAUGCAAAGUAAUAUCCAUCAUCUUGGUACUUCCAUGCUCAUUAUUAUGGCUGGGAAUCAGGAGAACAGGAUUCUCACAGCUUCAAGGACAGCGGAAAGUCACAGAGUGAUGCAUCUAACAGUAAUCUCCUCCUCUUUAUUUACAAUGAUAAUAUUGCUCCACCAUUAUAUGUUUGAACUGAAUUUCUGGUCAUGUCAUGCUCAUGAUUCCACUGAGUUACCUGCUCUCUCUUGUCCUAUUUUGGGGCUGGAAGUGCAAGCUAUGGGUAUGGGACAAGUUUUCCUCUGUGUAAAGCUAACGACUGCCCCUGAGGGUUGAGACUACAAUUUUACAUUCAUUAAUCAUUCUGGAUAAAAAUCAAGUGAGCUAAUAAAGCAUACACACAUCACCUCUCCAUGUCUUCAUAUACAUGCAUAAAUACACACACACACACACACACAGACAACACCAUCACUCAUGCUUUGUGUAGAUGAGGUGCAAUCUCCUUUUCUACAGACAGGAUGUUUCCUCAUGCAUGGUCACUGAGUG